AGAACGAACGCUGGCGGCAUGCCUAACACAUGCAAGUCGAACGAGACCUUCGGGUCUAGUGGCGCACGGGUGCGUAACGCGUGGGAAUCUGCCCAAAGGUUCGGAAUAACUCAGGGAAACUUGAGCUAAAUACCGGAUGAUGUCGCAAGACCAAAGAUUUAUUGCCUUUGGAUGAGCCCGCGUAGGAUUAGCUUGUUGGUGAGGUAAAGGCUCACCAAGGCUACGAUCCUUAGCUGGUCUGAGAGGAUGAUCAGCCACACUGGGACUGAGACACGGCCCAGACUCCUACGGGAGGCAGCAGUGGGGAAUAUUGGACAAUGGGCGAAAGCCUGAUCCAGCAAUGCCGCGUGAGUGAUGAAGGCCUAGGGUUGUAAAGCUCUUUCGCACGCGACGAUAAGUGACGGUAGCGUGAGAAGAGCCCGCUAACUCGCGCCAGCAGCCGC
rnacentral:rRNA from 1 species